AAACGUAGUCCAACAACGAAAGAGCCCUGAAGCUCAAGCGGAGCCCGCUGGCCGCAGGGGCCGCACCACGCCCCAGACCCUGGAGUUUCCGGGUGCGCAGACCCUUGCCAUCAGCAGAGGCUGCCGCUGCGCGUCCCCUAGGCGCGGAAGAGGCGGCUGGUGGUCCCUGACGGCAAGGUGAAGUCGAGGCAGUAAUCGGGAACCCAGGUUUUAUACAUUACGAAUAAAGCUGGCACGUUUCCAUUUCUCCUGGGCAAAUAUUUAGAAGAAAAGUUGCUGGGUAAUUGAAGCACUGAGACCACAGAGGCAAGAGCUGGGGAAGGAAAACUGCCCAUGAGAUGAGAUGUGCCUCUCAGCUUCCAAAAUCGGGGAGGGUUGCAAAGGGAUGACACCAUCCACACCAGAACUGCAUGAAUGGCAUCAGGAAUGAUCAGAGACCAUAAAUUCCAGUGAGACCAAUAACACCAUUUCUGGUCCUGCAUGCUCUUCCAAACUUUGCCACUAACCCCUUCAAGAGUAACAAGGCUAGGUUAGAAAAGGCAACAGAACUUCAUCCUAAUCUCUCUCAAGAUGCCCCCCAUGGAAUCCAGCCAUCAUGCUGUGAGGAAUCCAAGCAGCUACAUAGAAAGGCCACAACUAGAUAUUCCAGCUGUAGUCAGCUGAAGCUCCAGCCAACAGCCAACAUCAACCACCACACGUGAAAACGAGCAAGCCUUCAGAUGAUUCCGACUCCCAACCUCCAAGCCACCUCAGCUGAAGCCAAGUAGAGCAGAGACUAGCUGUCCCCCAAUGCUCUAAUAUGCAGAUUCAUAAUUAAAAAGAAUGUUAUUGUUCUAAGCCAUGAAGUUUUGGGGUGGUUUGUCAUGCAGCAACUGGAACUGCC
rnacentral:lncRNA from 1 species